UUCUGGGGUGACAAGAGAGGAUAGAUCCGAAAUGACUACAUAAGGGGGUCGACUAAGGUGGUGGAAGUAUCAAAUAAAGUGCAGGAGGAGAGGGUGAGAUGGUAUGGACACCUGCUGAGGAGAGAUGAAGAUCACGCUGGGAGACAUACUAUGGGGAUGGAAGGUCAAGGAAGAAGAAGAGGGAGACCAAGAAAGAGAUGGAAGGACUGUGUGAGAGGAGACUUACAUGAGAAGGGAAUUGAUGAGGCAGAAGCACAGGAUAGAAAUAGAUGGAAACGGCUCAUCCUCAACGGCGACCCCAUAUAAAAAUGGGAAUCUAGCUGGGAAGGAAGGGUCAUAAUAACUAACUCUCGGCUGUCUGUGUGGAAAUAGCAGUAGUUCUGUCAACAAGAUCUAAUUAAGGAGUGGUAAACAAUAAGCAUUGCGCGAGUCGACUAUCUGCAUGUAGCCACAAGCUGGUGACGAAGAUGGAUCAACAAUCCCAAAUAUCCACAAAGGAUUCUGAGGAGCACGUCCCCUGUGGUGCUUUGGUGUAUGGCUAAAACAAGAUUCAUUGAUUUGCACUGUUAUCCCUGGCUAUUGACAUAUCUCAAAAACCUUUCGAAAGGUUUUUGAGAUAUGUCAAUAGCAAAUUACCUUCCAUUCAAUUUACAGUGGAAUAUGAAGUGGAAAAUAAGCUUCCCUUUCUGGAUGUUUUGGUAUGCCAUGACCCUAUUACAUUUAGUUUUAAAUUUAGUGUUUACAGAAAAGUGACUAAUGCUGAAGCUUAUGUCCACUUCUAUUCUUUUCAUAAUAAUGAAGUAAAGCAAAAUAUAAUGAUAAAUUUCAUUCUAAGAGCCUUGAAAAUGUGUGAUCCUGAAUUUCAUCAUAUAAAAGAAGUUUUUAGAAAAUUAUGCUAUCCAGAAAAUUUCAUAAAUAAUGCCUUCACAAAAGCCAGAAGGAUUUUCUACAUAAAAAGUCAAUAUGAAUACAAAAAAGAAUAAAAAAAGUAUCUAACCUUACCAUUUAAUCCUAACUUACGAAAUAUUAGGAAAACAGUGAAUGAAAAAGGCGGAAAAAAGGUCAACCUGUUCUCCAACUAUAAGAAUACCCUCAAAGGCUGUCUCAUGCAAAAUAAUCACUCCAACCAAAGCUUUAACAAAGAAAUUGGUGUUUAUGAAAUACCUUGUCUGGAUUGCGAUAAGAAAUAUUACACAAAAGAGCCUGUAAUUUGCAUGCUGAGAAUAAUGCAUUAGUCUCACAUAGUUUAAAUGACGAUCACCGCAUAAAUUGGAGCGAGUCAAAAGUAAUUUUCAAUAGUAAAGAUACAGGCAUUAGAAGGUAAUAAAGCCUUUACGCAGGAAGAUUUUAUCUUAAAUGAAAUGAUUUGCUUUCAUUUUAUAAGAGAUUAUAACAAAGAAAGCUUGCAGAGUAAUAACACCAAUAAUCUCUGAUACUGCCGCUGCCUCAUCUUCUUUCGUUCAGGUAACAGGGACACACCCAGUGCCCCUUGUUGCAGACGCCCAAGCUGCUAUGAAAACAGACCAAAUGAUUCAAGAGACAAACCGCCACUUCGAAGAUCUAGGCGAUUAGCUGGUUUGCCGUUGGAGAAUGAGGGGAUAACAUGUAGAGCCAACCACCCAUCUUCAAACAAGCUACCUGUAAACUAGUCAAAAAAACAAAGUUUUUGUAUGGUCACUGCAUGUAAUUAUAGUCAGAUUGCAGGUCAUCGAAAGCUUUCUGCUUUGUAUUUUAAAUAACAAGAUCAAACAGACAUAUUAUUGUGGAUUUACUUCUCCAUUUUAUUUUGUUGUUUCAUGUGAUUAUGAGUUUUCUUUGGAUUAUAAUUAUAAGUAUAUAUAUCUAAAACAAAUUUCACGAAAGAAACUGAACAAAUCAAUAACUGGCACUUUUGAAACACUCAAUAAUUGAGUGGUUUGCAAUUUAUUCCAUUCCUGACACCAUUUAAAAAAAUGCCUGCUAUCCAAUUUUGCAAGAAAAUUUUUAUGUAAUAAAAAAAACGAAUCUUAACGAAUUGAUUGGUAGUGCUUAUUUUCCUACAUUCUUUAACUUGGCACUUCUAGACGUAUUUAUCUUGAACUGAAGAGCACUUAGUCCUGUUCAUUAAAACUUGACACACACAGCACUUUAGUUCUCUUCUCAGAAGAUGCUGUUGUAUCAUCCAGUUAAUUGCAGGAAGCGGAUCUU